AAAUUGAAGAGUUUGAUCAUGGCUCAGAUUGAACGCUGGCGGCAGGCCUAACACAUGCAAGUCGAACGGUAACAGGAAGCAGCUUGCUGCUUCGCUGACGAGUGGCGGACGGGUGAGUAAUGUCUGGGAAACUGCCUGAUGGAGGGGGAUAACUACUGGAAACGGUGGCUAAUACCGCAUAACGUCGCAAGACCAAAGAGGGGGACCUUCGGGCCUCUUGCCAUCAGAUGUGCCCAGAUGGGAUUAGCUUGUUGGUGAGGUAACGGCUCACCAAGGCGACGAUCCCUAGCUGGUCUGAGAGGAUGACCAGCCACACUGGAACUGAGACACGGUCCAGACUCCUACGGGAGGCAGCAGUGGGGAAUAUUGCACAAUGGGCGCAAGCCUGAUGCAGCCAUGCCGCGUGUAUGAAGAAGGCCUUCGGGUUGUAAAGUACUUUCAGCGGGGAGGAAGGUGUUGUGGUUAAUAACCGCAGCAAUUGACGUUACCCGCAGAAGAAGCACCGGCUAACUCCGUGCCAGCAGCCGCGGUAAUACGGAGGGUGCAAGCGUUAAUCGGAAUUACUGGGCGUAAAGCGCACGCAGGCGGUCUGUCAAGUCGGAUGUGAAAUCCCCGGGCUCAACCUGGGAACUGCAUUCGAAACUGGCAGGCUUGAGUCUUGUAGAGGGGGGUAGAAUUCCAGGUGUAGCGGUGAAAUGCGUAGAGAUCUGGAGGAAUACCGGUGGCGAAGGCGGCCCCCUGGACAAAGACUGACGCUCAGGUGCGAAAGCGUGGGGAGCAAACAGGAUUAGAUACCCUGGUAGUCCACGCCGUAAACGAUGUCUACUUGGAGGUUGUGCCCUUGAGGCGUGGCUUCCGGAGCUAACGCGUUAAGUAGACCGCCUGGGGAGUACGGCCGCAAGGUUAAAACUCAAAUGAAUUGACGGGGGCCCGCACAAGCGGUGGAGCAUGUGGUUUAAUUCGAUGCAACGCGAAGAACCUUACCUGGUCUUGACAUCCACGGAAGUUUUCAGAGAUGAGAAUGUGCCUUCGGGAACCGUGAGA
rnacentral:rRNA from 1 species